AUUGAACGCUGGCGGCAUGCCUUACACAUGCAAGUCGAACGGCAGCACGGGAGCUUGCUCCUGGUGGCGAGUGGCGAACGGGUGAGUAAUGCAUCGGAACGUGCCCUGAAGUGGGGGAUAACGUAGCGAAAGUUACGCUAAUACCGCAUAUUCUGUGAGCAGGAAAGCAGGGGAUCUUCGGACCUUGCGCUUUUGGAGCGGCCGAUGUCGGAUUAGCUAGUUGGUGGGGUAAAGGCCCACCAAGGCGACGAUCCGUAGCGGGUCUGAGAGGAUGAUCCGCCACACUGGAACUGAGACACGGUCCAGACUCCUACGGGAGGCAGCAGUGGGGAAUUUUGGACAAUGGGCGCAAGCCUGAUCCAGCCAUGCCGCGUGAGUGAAGAAGGCCUCGGGUUGUAAAGCUCUUCGUGGGAGAAUGCUGGUAUACCCUGAGUAGAUGACGGUACCCGAAUAAGAAGACACCGGCUAACUACGU
rnacentral:rRNA from 1 species